rnacentral:rRNA from 1 species
GACGAACGCUGGCGGCGUGCUUAACACAUGCAAGUCGAACGGUGAAGGGGCCUGCUUUUGUGGGCCCUGGAUGAGUGGCGAACGGGUGAGUACCACGUGAGUAACCUGCCCCCUUCUUCUGGAUAACCGCAUGAAAGUGUGGCUAAUACGGGAUAUUCUGGGUCUGUCGCAUGAUGGGUCUGGGAAAGAUUGCGCCUUUGGGUGUUUUUGGUGGGGGAUGGGCUCGCGGCCUAUCAGCUUGUUGGUGGGGUGAUGGCCUACCAAGGCGGUGACGGGUAGCCGGCCUGAGAGGGUGGACGGUCACACUGGGACUGAGACACGGCCCAGACUCCUACGGGAGGCAGCAGUGGGGAAUAUUGCACAAUGGGCGCAAGCCUGAUGCAGCGACGCCGCGUGAGGGAUGGAGGCCUUCGGGUUGUAAACCUCUUUCGCCAGUGAAGCAGGCCUGCUCCUUGUGGGUGGGUUGACGGUAGCUGGAUAAGAAGCGCCGGCUAACUACGUG